CAGGAGAGGCAGAAGCCUCAAGCUUGCCCAACUGGGCAGAGGGAUCCUCCUCCUGGCGUCACUGGAAUGUUAUGGGAGAGAGGACUAAAACCACUGCUGAAGUUGAGGACAUGCACUCCUUCCUCCACAUCUACAUAUCCAAUCAUUUCUUUCAUGGAAGGUCUGAGUUCCAGUUCCCUUGCCAGCACCAAAAUGUUCCACAGUAUCUACAGCUUCUACAGCUUUUAGAUUUGUAAUUUCUAUUAUUACUCCAGUUGCUGCUAGCAUGAUACAUAUAUAUCAGAUAGCUACAGAAACAGCUACAAUAAAGCUUUGUCAGUUGCAUAAUAUUGGCAAUUGUUUGAUGUCUGACUACCCCCAGCCUUUGCAAUUGGUUCUGGGAGGAUCAUCAUGAAGCCAUGAUAAUACCACAGACUCCAGUGGAUGAAGACCAUAGAUAUGACUUUAAUGCAUAAAACUGCAUGCUCACUUUGAGAGGAAUUCAAGCCUAUGCUAAAAUAACUAAAUUCAGAUGUCACAUGUAAAUCAGAUACCUAUGUUACUAUUGCAAGCAAUAGACUUAGGCAAAUAUUCACAUCUUUUGUAUGUCACAGAUGGGGUCAACAGUUGCUGCUCAAAAAGGUGCAUGACCUCACUGAGUCUUGUAUUUUUCAGCCAGGUAUCUUAGAGUUCUGUGAAGAUGUCUUAGACUCCCUAGAGGAUUGCAAACGAUUAUAUGAAUAUCAAAAGAAUCCCAUCCUGAAUCAUUGAAGACAAGGGAGAUGGGAGGAAAUUCGCUUUACUCUCAGGUAUUGAUCAGUGACAGUUUGAGAUGUUCUUCACAAUCACUCGUCCUGGGAGGCCUAAUUAACAAAGCCUGGCUUGCUGAAAUAGAUAAAACUCAAUGUCCACUGAAAUUAAUGCGAUGCUGUCUAAGCAUCUUUCAACUAUUAAGGGAAAAUCAAGUUUAAGUGGAAGGAAUGAGGAAAGUCCUCUUAAGAACUAAAACAAUUGUGACUGGAAAAGUGGAUUAAGACAACAAUUUUACAAGGACAAUGCAGGGACAUCAAGAGAUCUACUUUAAAGAUAAAAAAAGCCCCAAAAUCUUCAUCUUCUUAUUCCUUUAGUAUUGAUGGUGCCUUCUGCUACCAAAAGAGAUUUCUUUUUCUGUGAAUCACAGAAGUGCAG